rnacentral:rRNA from 1 species
AUACGGAGGGUGCAAGCGUUGUUCGGAUUCAUUGGGCGUAAAGCGAGUGUAGGCGGUUUGACAAGUCGGAUGUGAAAUCCCGGGGCCCAACCCCGGAACUGCAUCCGAUACUGUCUGGCUAGAGUCCCGGAGAGGGUGGCGGAAUUCCCGGUGUAGGGGUGAAAUCCGUAGAUAUCGGGAGGAACACCAGUGGCGAAGGCGGCCACCUGGACGGUGACUGACGCUGAGACUCGAAAGCGUGGGUAGC